AGCCUGAACGCUGGCGGCGUGGCUAAGACAUGCAAGUCGCACGGAUUGUAGCAAUACAGUCAGUGGCGGACGGGUGAGUAAUGUAUCGCUAACGUACCCUGGACUCUGGGAUAGCUAAUCGAAAGGUUAGGUAAUACCAGAUGAGACCACGAAUAGGCAUCUAUUUGUGCUCAAAGGUCCGCCGGUCUGGGAGCGGGCGAUAUCGUAUCAGCUAGUUGGUGAGGUAACGGCUCACCAAGGCGAUGACGCGUAACUGGUCUGAGAGGACGGCCAGUCACAUCGGGACUGAGACACUGCCCGGACUCCUACGGGGGCUGCAGUAACGAAUCUUCCCCAAUGCACGCAAGUGUGAGGGAGCGACGCCGCGUGUAGGACGAAGUCCUUCGGGAUGUAAACUACUGUCAGGGGAUACCAAGUUCUGAGGAUCCCCAGAGGAAGAGGCGGCUAACUCUGCGCCAGCAGCCGCGGU
rnacentral:rRNA from 1 species